rnacentral:rRNA from 1 species
UACAGAGGGUGCAAGCGUUAAUCGGAAUUACUGGGCGUAAAGCGUGUGUAGGUGGUUUGCUAAGUCAGGUGUGAAAUCCCCGGGCUCAACCUGGGAAUUGCGAUGAAGACUGCAAGGCUAGAAUCUGGCAGAGGGGGGUAGAAUUCCACGUGUAGCAGUGAAAUGCGUAGAGAUGUGGAGGAACACCGAUGGCGAAGGCAGCCCCCUGGGCUAACACUGACGCUCAUGCACGAAAGCGUGGGGAGCAAACAGG